rnacentral:rRNA from 1 species
UACAGAGGUGGCAAGCGUUGUUCGGAAUUACUGGGCAUAAAGGGCGCGUAGGCGGCCCGAUCCGUCAGAGGUGAAAUCCCCCGGCUCAACCGGGGUACUGCCUUUGAAACAAUCGGGCUUGAGGACCGAAGGGGAGAGUGGAAUUCCUGGUGGAGCGGUGAAAUGCGUAGAUAUCAGGAAGAACGCCGGUGGCGAAAGCGGCUCUCUGGACGGUUACUGACGCUGAGGCGCGAAAGCUAGGGGAGCAAACAGG